UUCCAUUUCAAUUGAUUUAUUUCAUAUCAAAUAUUUCAUUGUAAAUAUGUUAUUAUAAAUGUAUAAUUCCUGAGAAUUAUUCUGAGAACUAGUUAAUACUCCCAGAUCAAUGGAUUGAUUAAUUUAAAAGCACAAACAACCCUGAGCUCAUCAUCAAAAUGACAGAGUUACCCGACAUCAUUUUAAAAAAUAGCAUUUCGAUCUGCAACACAACAUACAACACAUGCGAUUGUCAUUUGCCUACAACAAAUUUCUCUCUGGAGAUGACUUGAUGUUCAAUAGCCUACAGUGCACUUGACACAAAUGUUACAUAACAUAGUUUAAAAUCAAUUCAACCGUCCCUUGAUUCUUAUUUAAAUACAAUGAAUCACAGUAAUAGUCAGCUAAUUUGCUCUGAAAUACAUAGUCCGGUGGGCAACCUUUUUAAUCCCCGGUUUAGUCCUAAAGCAAGAGAGAGCCACCGUGAUCAACCUGCUCGAAUCGAUUCAAACCUGCACAAGGGGCUGCACUGGAACACUGAAUUUUUAUGAAGCGCACCGACCAUCACACUGUUGUCAAACGGAUUGAUGGAAAGAAAUAUGAGUAUAGGUUAUUGCAAUUACCAACCUAAAUUGACAAUAGGACACAUGUUGGUGGCAUUAGUAGCCUCAUAUAUUUGUCUUUCACAGUACUUAAAAUGUCAUCCUGAGGAAUCGGCCAGAAACUUUCCUGGUUGAAGGGUGCUCAUUAGCUGGAGGGGGACAGUGAUCUACAUCUACACUGUGACAGGGACCAUGCUGCUUCUUCUUCCACACAUGAUAAAGAUGUCAAACCACAGAACGUGUCUGUCAAAAAGUUCUACUUCUGAGAAUGUUCUCAAGGAAUGAUGCUUGAUAACUGCAUGGCUGGAAUUGAAGUACUGUGUUGCUCUAUUGGUAAGAGCAGGACACUAUCCAAACCCAAGGUUGUGGGUUCAAUUCCCACAGGGAUUACAAAGGCCUACACAAAAUGUAAGAACUGUCCUAUGCUGUAAGUCAAUUUGGAUGAAAGUGUCUGCACAGUGGCAUAUAGUGUUAUUAUUAUUCAGUGUGGUUGUUGUGAAAGCCAUGCUCUGGCACUGUGAGAGUGAGUACUGGGUCGGUAGCUGGGUUCAAGCUGGGUGUCUGGGCCAGGCUAUGUUAAACCAACAGAGCCGGGCGGCAGGACCGAUGCCAGCCCUGCCACCACUGGCCAGGGAGUUUGAAGGGCGGCUUCCUGACAUCUCUUGGGAUGCAGCGACUAAACAUGAGACUGAGAUAACAAAGAAACAAAACUAUAGACAGCAGGCUCUGAUGGAGAAUAGAGGACUCCAACACAGGUUGUCUUGUCUCUCCAUCAGUUGGGAGUUUGCACAGUCUGUCAUCCAAGAGGCAAGAACACCAAAUAGUGUCAUGACUAAUCAAAUCAAGUCAAAUGUAUUUAUAUAGCCCUUCGUACAUCAGCUGAUAUCUCAAAGUGCUGUACAGACACCCAGCCUAAAACCCCAAACAGCAAGCAAUGCAGGUGUAGAAACACAGUGGCUAGGAAAAACUCCCUAGAAAGGCCAAAACCUAGGAAGAAACCUAGAGAGGAACCAGGCUAUGAGGGGUGGCCAGUCUUCUUCUUGCUGUGCCGGGUGGAGAUUAUUACAGAACAUGGCCAAGAUGUUCAAAUGUUCAUAAAUGACCAGCAUGGUCAAAUAAUAAUAAUAAUCACAGUAGUUGUCGAGGUUGCAACAGGUCAGCACCUCAGGACUAAAUGUCAGUUGCCUUUUCAUAACCAAUCAUUAAAAGUAUCUCUACCACUCCUGCUGUCUCUAGAGAGUUGAAAACAGCAGGUCUGGGACAGGUAGCAUGUCCGGUGAACAGGUCAGGAUUCCAUAGCCGCAGGCAGAACAGUUGAAACUGGAGCAGCAGCACGGCCAGGUGGACUGGGAACAGCAAGCAGUCAUCAUACCAGGUAGUCCUGAGGCAUGGUCCUAGAGCUCAGGUCCUC
ensembl:lncRNA